rnacentral:rRNA from 1 species
UACAGAGGGGGCAAGCGUUGUUCGGAAUUACUGGGCGUAAAGGGCGCGUAGGCGGCCUGUUAAGUCGAACGUGAAAUCCCUGGGCUCAACCCAGGAACUGCGUCCGAUACUGGCAGGCUUGAAUUCGGGAGAGGGAUGCGGAAUUCCAGGUGUAGCGGUGAAAUGCGUAGAUAUCUGGAGGAAUACCGGUGGCGAAGGCGGCAUCCUGGACCGGCAUUGACGCUGAGUGAGCGAAAGCCAGGGGAGCAAACGGG